rnacentral:rRNA from 1 species
AUUGAACGCUGGCGGCAGGCCUAACACAUGCAAGUCGAGCGGAUGAAGGGAGCUUGCUCCUGGAUUCAGCGGCGGACGGGUGAGUAAUGCCUAGGAAUCUGCCUGGUAGUGGGGGAUAACGUCCGGAAACGGGCGCUAAUACCGCAUACGUCCUGCGGGAGAAAGAGGGGGAUCUUCGGACCUCACGCUAUCAGAUGAGCCUAGGUCGGAUUAGCUAGUUGGUGGGGUAAAGGCCUACCAAGCCGACGAUCCGUAACUGGCCUGAGAGGAUGAUCAGUCACACUGGAGCUGAGACACGGUCCAGACUCCUACGGGAGGCAGCAGUGGGGAAUAUUGGACAAUAGGCGAAAGCCUGAUCCAGCCAUGCCGCGUGUGUGAAGAAGGUCUUCGGAUUGUAAAGCACUUUAAGUUGGGAGGAAGGGCAGUAAGUUAAUACCUUGCUGUUUUGACGUUACCAACAGAAUAAGCACCGGCUAACUUCGUG